GAAGGCAGUGAGGUUGGCAGCAAGGACGGCUGCGAGUGCGACAGUGAUCGCAAACCACGAGAUCUGCGACAGGGACGAAACACGACCACCCACCGUGAGCAAACGAGCGACGACCACGAUGGGCAAGUGGACCAAACGCGAUCACAAACGAUGAUUGCGAAUGAUGAUCGGACGAAGUGAUGCUUGACCAUGAGCGACGAAGAUCAACGAUGGAGUGAAACAAAACAGAAAUGAAGAACAUUAAUCAGGUUAUUAAACCCUAAACAAAAUGACUCC
rnacentral:lncRNA from 1 species